ensembl:lncRNA
GGCCUCGAAUCCAGUGCUGGACCUGACUACCACUGCCUUGCAGAGACCAGUGCCACCUCAGGAGGUAAGGGUCAUGACUGGUACACAGUUCUCUAUGGAGUAGAAGAGAGAGAAAGGUGUUGUGCAUGAACUUAGUGUCUGCAGAGGCAGCAAAGGAGAGGGGGUGCCUGGGGAUCACGUUGGAAAUGAGCUCACAUGGAGAGGGGGAGGUUUCAUCCAAGUGCUAUGUGAACAGUCAGCUGUUGGCAGCGUCACCAGCCUCAUGUGGGUUGCACAGUGGAUGGACCUUGGUAACCUCAGACACAUCUAACAAACAGGGAUAAUUACUACAGAUGGCAGUUGUGUUUCUGGUGUGCAUUUACAGUUGGAAGAGGCCAAUAUUGCUUCAGGAGAAGGAGAGAUUUGAAUAAUGAGAGAAAGAUAAGAAUGAAUUAAAUGAAUCAAUGGUAGGCUUUGUCUCAAUGAGUGAAGAUGCCGGAGACUGCCAGAAAGUGCCCCUGGGCAAGGAGAGUCAAGCCUUUUUGUCAUUCAGUAAUCAGCAUAUACCUGGCCCCACUUCAGGCUAAGGCAAAUAUCACUCUCCAAAACAGUUUUGGGGCAUGGUUUUAGGGUUAGGACCAAUCAAUGGUCACUUCUAGUAGGCAGUUUAUGAGCACCCAUUCUGUUUUGGAAGGUGAGAUUGUUUAAUAAUGUGAAUAUGGGCUUCAGUGCCUGAGAAUGGUCUGAGUCACACUUAAUUCACUAGUGUUAAAUGUUUUGUAAAGUUUCUGGCACUUAAAUUUGAGCAAGAAAGCCUGGCCAAGCUGCCUAAAAAGUGGGAAAGCCUGGGCAUGAAGCUGUUGAACGAAUCUACUACAUUGAGUGAUAAUUUGACUUGUUUGGCUCCUACCUUGUGGUCACCCCAAAACAGACCUAUCUUUGUCAUCUCUUCCAUGCACUGCCAUGUGUCAUCCCAUACUUACACUGGAGAUGCCAAAGUCUUCACUAGCAUUGUUGGAGAAACACCGGUGAUCCAUGAUGUCCAUUUCAGAGGAAAAAGUGAAGCUGAAGGGCCAUCUCUUGAGCAGAAACCAGAUGUACCUGCUGAUAAUAGAGAAGCCACAAGCCUUGCAGAUGGCUGAAGUGCUGAAGGCAUUUCCCAAAUUUCCAGGAAGUUGGCAAAGAGGAAAAAAAGGGAUGUUAUCCCCUUGCCUCCCUUCCCAAUUUCCUCAGCUCUUUAAUCUGAUUUUUCAUGGGGUAAUUAUGAUUCACUGAGUAACUGACCCAAAUGUGUUCAGUGCUUCUUGAGAGCUGUGGCCAGUCAUUGUAACAGCAAGCCAUAAGGGAAAAUGCAGGAGUGAUGGCAGUGACCUCUCAGAGUGAGGGCAAGAGCCGUUGUUCGAAUCUUUCCAGGAUUGUACAGGGUUUUCUCCUGCCUCCUUUUUUGUGAAGGAGUCUGUGAUGAACUGGGGUGCCUUCUGUGUGUGGCAAAACAACGCUGCCCAGGUGACUCUGUGGCUGCUAGCUGUAGCAUUAUUACAAUGAUUAACCAAACCAGCAGUCCCUAGUGGAUUAACUACAGCCGUUCACUUCAUUGUACAGGCAUUGUACAGGAAUUCAAAUUGCAAACUAUAUUGUCCAAACACACCUAAUGAAUUAGCAUUAAAGUCCACUUGAAAAUCCUUGCGGUCAAAUGCUAAUUUCAAAUGCUUACAUUAACCAGUUAUUUGCAUCUUCAAAAAUAUUUAACUGAUGUUUUACAUGAACAUAUCUUUACAGAUAGUUCAAGACAUGUGACAAUUUUUAUGUCUAGAGUUACAAUUAAAAGUAAGAAAACUCAGACCUGGUGGUUAAUUGUAAAAUGCAGUGAACCUGAACCCAAGGGUAAUUCAUUGUCUGUUUUCUACUGAUGGUGUUUCAAUGGCCAGCUUAAAGAUAUUGAUGCUUCAUCAACUGAAAUAGAAUAUGCAAAUUUUUCCCUGAUCAUAUAGCAUAGCUCUAAUCAGAACAGCAGUAGAGCACAUUGCAAUUACAUAGCUGUUUUUUCUCAGCAUCACCCAGAGCGAGACUCAUUACAAUUGGAUUCAUUACAAAACCACUCUUCUUAAUUUUUACAGCACUCUGUUAUAAUUGACCAUCAGGUGUCUGGAGUUUAAACACAUAUUCAUUAGGAUUGUGGUAGGCAUUUUGUCAUAGCUCUGAAUCUUAUGCUCCAUUCCUCCAGCUUCAGGGUUUGUUAUGAGCUGCGCUUGCUUCCUACAGCCUUUAAAAGAUACUGAGCUUUGUGAAUUUUUCCUGUUAAUAUAGACUGUAUCUCAGACAUGUGGAGUUUUAAUAAGUUUCCAAGUCUUUCAGGCUACAAGUGGAAGUGGCAUUCUCUAAAAGAAGUUACAGAAGUUAAAGUCGGAAGAUAUUUAGCCUAUACUGGAGCUUGCGGCAUGCAGGCACCCUCACAUUCCUCUCUACAGCUGUGUAUUUAGAAGUUGUUGAAAGUUAAGUUUUCUUACUUUUUUUUUAAUGAUUAUUUUGGAGCAAUGUAACAGGGCCAUAGACACCAGCCAAAACUGGGCAGGAUCCUCCAAGUGCUUUGGGUAUUUUUGGAAGAACAUGGUACAUGGCCAUUUCCUGUAAGUGUGACUGGUUGCUUCAUCCCAGUAUCACUUCUUCCAGCCUCCCUUUUAUCUCCUUACCACAUACCACUCUAUGUAACCACAGCUUCUCAGGCUGAUUUUGGGGCUGUGAGCCUUUCAGCAAAGAAUGUUAUUCCAUUCAUCAUUUCCCUCAACCUAAUUUUUUGUACGUGCAGGAGUGCCUAGCAUUAGCACUGGCUGGCUUCAUGUUAUCAUUGCUGGUCUUUGCUGCUGAAGCAUUAACAUUUCUGUCCUUAUGGAUAAUUCUCACUGAGAAAAUCUGGCUGCUGCUGCUUCUUCUUGGCCAACACCGAGGGUUAAUUAAAAAAAUAAAUUGGGUAAAGCGUAUUCUGGGGCAAGAGGGCUAAGAAGGUGCUGGUUGCCCAGCACUAGGCAGGGAUGUGAAAUUUCCCUAGUUCUCAUUUCAGCUCAGUAACACUUGAAAGAGUUUUGACUACAUACACCAGCAGCAGAAAUUUCUGAGUGAAACUGGCCUGACUCACUGCCAUCAAUUUGCCUGCUGACGCUAUUGCUGGAUUUCCUUGGAAUCAGAGAUCACAACCUCUAAACAGUGCAGCUUCCCAGCAACAUGCUGUAGGAAAGGACCAAGUCACUAAGCCUUUUAUGAUGUUUGGCUUAAUAUCAAUUGAUAUGAAAACCAACUGGCAUACACAAGCAUCUUCACUGAAAUAGGAUGACCUUUUCUUUCAGGGGGCUGAAAGCUGUGUACUCUUUUCACAUCUCACUGUUUGACCACUGUGCUUGUUUUUCAGUAGUGAUGGGGACUGGCUCAUCACAAUAUUUUAUCUUUUAAUCAGGUUAAAUAAUGAAGUUUUAUCCUGACUAUUUUGAUUCUCUAAUUAUCCUGAACAUUGCUGUAACUGUGGCAUAAGGCUGUGUUCUGAGCUACCUGUUCAGCCAUGCUUCAUGUGUUAACGGGUAUUCUGCUCGGACCGUGCUGUCUGUAUCAGGCUGUGAGGUCAGAUGUGAGCUGUUUCCCAGGAUCAGCGUGAUGUGCUGAUCUGUAUGUACUAUCUGUUAACAGCCUGAUUCACCCAAAUGCAUGGCUUUCAGAAAAUAGACACUUUUCUCUCUUUAGAAGGAGAGAAAGCAAAACCCAUCGACAGUGAGUGAUGCUGGAUAAUGGGACAGAUUGCCAAACUGUCCCAUUACUAUGAGAUACAAUAGUGCAAAAAUCACCCUUGGGCUAACUGUGGAAAAAAUAAUGACAACAGAAUAAAGUGCAUUUGCAACAUGGAAUAAAGUAUUAGUCAUCUAGAAGCAUGCUGCGUGUGUGCCUUUUCUGGAAGGGGAGUUCAGCACUUUUUGCAGGGAAAUGAAAGCCAAGAAUGCUACAUUUUCACACUCCAGUCUGUGGGCAGGCCAGGAGAAGAUCACACUGGCACUCUUCAACCUCUACUUACCAUGGGUAAAAAGCUGACAGUUCUUUGCCUUUGAGGCCCUGGAGAUGGAGGUUACUGGAAACUGGGGGCAGUAACAAAAGGACCCCACAUAGGAGAUUUUUGCAGUAAAUGUAGUGACUAAGGUCAUUGUGUUUGAAGUAGCUCUCUUGAACAUCUUGCAGGAUAUUCAUAGUAGCACAAGGUUCAGUAGAAAGUGCAAAACUUUCCUAGAAAUCUGGGGAAUUAACAGAGUACUUAUCUUAAAUUCAGUAUUACCAUGAUUAAUUUAAAAGCUUAGGAAUAACAGGAUAUAACUAUCUAAAAUAUCAAACUUACCUUGUUGGAUUUAAGGUCUGACUCUAGCCCUAGAUCUUAUGUUUUAAAAAAGCUGCUACAAUAGAAUGGCAUUAUUAUAUGUAGUCUUUCCUUCAGGUGGGGAAUGGAGAAACACAUGACAACAUCCUCUUUGUGGGAAUUUAGAGUUGUUCUUUAGUACUAACUGUAUGUUGUAUUCAUGGACAAAAUGAAGGGAUGUGAAAUGCACCGAAGACUAAACUGUGGAAGACUACACGCAGAAAGGCUACUGAAACCAGCAGCCAUCUUCGUGUAAGGUUUAAUUUAUUUCUCUGCUACAGAGCUGGGCAAGUAGUCCUUGUGAGCAGUUCAGUUUCAGUUUCCCCAACAUAUGUGUGUAUUUUCUCCAGAAUGUAUGGCUCAUUCAUCCUACAUCUCCUGGGAACGCAGGAGAGCUCUCUGUAGGACAGCCACCAGAUACUCUCA